rnacentral:misc_RNA from 1 species
GGAAGUAAAAGUCGUAACAAGAUCUCCGUAGGUGAACCUGCGGAGGGAUCAUUACAGAGUUCUCGCCCUCGCGGGUAGAUCUCCCACCCACUGUUAUCGUUACUGUGUUGCCUUGGCGGGCCGCCGGGCCCCGCUCGGCCGCCGGCUCCGGCUGGCGCGCGCCCGCCAGAGGCCCAGCAAACUCUGAAUGUUAGUGUCGUCUGAGUACUAUAUAAUAGUUAAAACUUUCAACAACGGAUCUCUUGGUUCUG